AGCCACCAGUGAGGAUUGAACUCACGACCCCUGGUUUACAAGAUCAGUUCUCUUACCACUGAGCUAUGGUGGC
rnacentral:tRNA from 13 species